GCCUGGGUGGCUCAGUCGGUUGAGUGUCUGACUUAGGCUCAGGUCAUGAUCUCAUGGUUCGUGGGUUCGAGCCCCGCGUCGGGCU
rnacentral:tRNA from 1 species